CCUACGGGGGGCAGCAGUGAGGAAUAUUGGUCAAUGGGCUUACGCCUGAACCAGCCAAGCCGCGUGAGGGAAGACGGUCCUAUGGAUUGUAAACCUCUUUAGGCGGGGAGCAAUGCCGGGCACGCGUGCCCGGAGGGAGAGUACCCGCAGAAUAAGCAUCGGCUAACUCCGUGCCAGCAGCCGCGGUAAUACGGAGGAUGCGAGCGUUAUUCGGAUUUAUUGGGUUUAAAGGGUGCGUAGGCGGAUUUUUAAGUUAGCGGUAAAAUGUCCGGGCUCAAUCCGGGCCGGCCGUUGAAACUGGGGAUCUAGAGUGGGCGAGAGGUAAGCGGAAUGCGUGGUGUAGCGGUGAAAUGCAUAGAUAUCACGCAGAACUCCAGUUGCGAAGGCAGCAUACCGGCGCCCGACUGACGCUGAGGCACGAAAGCGUGGGGAUCGAACAGGAUUAGAUACCCUUGUAGUC
rnacentral:rRNA from 1 species